UACGUAGGGUGCGAGCGUUAAUCGGAAUUACUGGGCGUAAAGCGUGCGCAGGCGGUUUUAUAAGCCAGAUGUGAAAUCCCCGGGCUUAACCUGGGAAUGGCAUUUGGGACUAUAAGGCUAGAAUCUGGCAGAGGGGGGUAGAAUUCCACGUGUAGCAGUGAAAUGCGUAGAUAUGUGGAGGAACACCAAUGGCGAAGGCAGCCCCCUGGGAUGACACUGACGCUCAUGCACGAAAGCGUGGGUAGCAAACAGG
rnacentral:rRNA from 1 species